rnacentral:rRNA from 1 species
AUGUUGGCUGAAUUUGACCCAGUUAUCAAAGAGCAUGUUGACCGCAUCACCAAUGAAAAAAUUCGUGAUCACUACCUUGGCCCUUCUAUACAGAAUGAGUUAAUAAACAUGCUCGCUACUGCCAUCAGGUCAAGAAUCAUUGAAAAGGUAAAGGAAGCAAAAUAUUUCUCAGUUAUUCUUGAUUGUACUCCUGAUGCAAGCCACCAAGAACAAAUGUCUUUUAUAAUUAGGUAUGUAGAUACAUCUUCUGCUUCUGUUUGCAUCGAAGAAUUUUUCUUAGGCUUUUUGGAGGUGAAUGAUACCACUGGGCAAGGUUUGUUUAAUGUUCUAGAAGAGGAGUUGAAUAAUCUUAGCCUUGAUGUGGACAAUGUGAGAGGGGAGGGUUAUGAUAAUGGGUCAAAUAUGAAAGGAAACGAUAAAGGGGUACAAAAGAAAUUUCUGGACAAAUAUCCAAGGGCAUUUUAUUCAGCUUGUGGUUGUCAUAGUCUAAAUCUGGCACUAUGCGAUAUGGCGAAGUCUUGUCGUAAAGCAACAGACUUCUUUGGAAUUAUACAACGCUUCUAUACAAUAUUUGCUAAUUCGACUAAACGAUGGCAAAUUCUCAAAGAUAACUUAAAGAAGUUGACUGUCAAGUCAUUGUCAUCUACUCGUUGGGAGAGUCAUGUUGAGAGUGUUAAGGCUAUACGGAUUCAAAUGCCAGAAAUAAGAGAGGCUUUACUACAAGUGGCUGAAACUGAUAAGGAUCCAUUGACAAGUAGUGAAGCACAAUCAUUGGCAGAAAAUGAACUUGGUGGUUUUGAAUUUUUAGUGUCAAUAAUUAUCUGGUAUGAUAUAUUAUCCGCUGUUAAUUUGGUCAGCAAGCAACUACAAUCAAAGGACAUGCUUAUUGAUAUUGCAAUUGAGUCUAUACAGGGUCUACUUUCCUUUUUCAAGAAGUAUAGAGAAACUGGCUUUUCAAAAGCAUUGGAAGAUGCAAAAGAAAUUGCACUUGAGAUGGAUAUUCAUCCAGAGUUUCGCACCAAGCGGAAAAUCAAAAGAAGAAGACAAUUCGAUGAGGGUGCAGAUGAUGCAUCUAUUGCUUCACAAUCUGCAGAGGAGUCAUUUAGGGUCAAUUAUUUUCUGCAAGUGGUCGAUCAAGCUAUAGUUUCACUUACCAGGAGGUUUGAGCAAUAUCAGGGGUAUGAAAAAACUUUCGGUUUCUUAUUUACUUUAGAUAGGCUGCGAUCUAUGGAUGAUAAGAGUUUGCUGGCUGCUUGUGUUAAUCUUGAGGAUGCACUUAAGAGUGGAGAACACAAAGAUAUUGAUGGAGCUGAAUUGUUUUACUAG